AUUUUUCUAAGGUUUUAUGGACUGAUGAAAUGAGAGUGAGUCUUGAUGGGCCAGAUGGAUGGGCCCGUGGCUGGAUUGGUAAAGGGCAGAGAGCUCCAGUCCGACUCAGACGCCAGCAAGGUGGAGGCGGAGUACUGGUUUGGGCUGGUAUCAUCAAAGAUGAGCUUGUGGGGCCUUUUCGGGUUGAGGAUGGAGUCAAGCUCAACU